CAACCCGUAGCUCAGUUGGAUAAGAGCUUGAGUUUCCUAAACUCACUGUCACAGGUUCAAGUCCUGUCGGGUUGA
rnacentral:tRNA from 2 species